rnacentral:rRNA from 1 species
AGCCACGCGAGAUGAACGCUUCCCUGNUUGCGGGAGGCGUGGCGUACGGCUCAGUAACACGUAGUCAACCGUGCCCCUGGAGACAAGUAUAACCCCGGGAAACUGGGAUUAAUCCUUGAUAGGUCAUCUCAUCUGGAAGGAGAGAUGGCUUAAAGGGGUGCGAGAGCUUCUUUCUUGUACCCGCUCCAGGAUGGGACUGCGGCCGAUCAGGCUGUUGGUGGGGUAAUGGCCCACCAAACCUGUAACCGGUACGGGCCUUGAGAGAGGGGGCCCGGAGAUGGACACUGAGAGAAGGGUCCAGGUCCUACGGGGCGCAGCAGGCGCGAAACCUUCACAAUGCGCGAAAGCGUGAUUAGGUUAAUCCGAGUGGUCCCCGCUGAGGGGAUCUUUUGUCGGCUGUAAAAAGGCCGGUGAAUAAGGGGAGGGCAGGUCUGGUGUCAGCCGCGCGGUAA